GCUGCGUGUGGUGGGUGUGCCUGUAGUCCCAGCUACUUAGGAGGCUGAGGCUGGAGGAUGCUUGAGUCCAGCUCUGGGCUGUAAUGCGCUAUGCUGAUUGGGGGCCCACACUAAGUUGGGCAUCAAUAUGGUCACCUCCCGGAAGCGGGGGACCACCAGGUUGCCUAAGGAGGGGUAAACCGGCCCAGGUCGGAAACGGAGCACGUGAAAACUCCUGUACUACCGGCCGGGCGCGGUGGCUCAAGCCUGUAAUCCCAGCACUU
rnacentral:SRP_RNA from 1 species